rnacentral:rRNA from 1 species
UGCAAGUCGAACGAAAUAGUAAGUAACUUUCUAUUUAGUGGCGGAAGGGUUAGUAAAGUAUGGAUAACUUACCUUUAACUUGGGGAUAACGAUUGGAAACGAUCGCUAAUACCGAAUGAAAGUAGGGAACGGCUUCAUCACUUAAUCAAAGUAGGGGACCUUGAAAGGGGCCUUGCGGUUAGAGAGAGGUUCAUGGGAUAUCAGCUAGUUGGUGAGGUAAUGGCUCACCAAGGCUAAGACGUCUAGGCGGAUUGAGAGAUUGACCGCCAACAUUGGGACUGAAAUACUGCCCAGACUCCUACGGGAGGCUGCAGUCGAGGAUCUUUCGCAAUGGGCGAAAGCCUGACGAAGCGACGCUGUGUGAACGAUGAAGGCUUCGGGUUGUAAAGUUCUUUCGCGCAAGAACAAGAGAGGAGAAUGAAUAAUUUUCUGAUUUGAGGGUACUGCGUAAAGAAGCGCCGGCUAACUCCGUGCCAGCAGCUGCGGUAAUACGGAGGGUGCAAGCAUUAAUAGGAUUUAUUGGGCGUAAAGGGUGCGUAGGCUAACUUGAAAGUCAGUUGUGGAAAUCCGGUGCUCAACCCCGGAGCUGCAUAUUAAACUAUAUUUAUAGAGGGAUGGCGGAGAAAAUGGAAUUCCACGUGUAGCGGUGAAAUGCGUAGAAAUGUGGAAGAACACCAGUGGCGAAAGCGGUUUUCUUGUUAUUUCCUGACGCUGAGGGGGGAGAGCAAGGGGGGCAAACAGGAUUAGAUACCCUCGUAGUCCCGGCAAUAAACGAUGUCUACUUGAUGUAGCGGGGCUCAACCCUAUCUGUGUCGAAGCCAACGCGAUAAGUAUACCGCCUGGGGAGUACGCUCCCAGGGGUAAAACUCAAAAGAAUUGACGGGGGCCCGCACAAGCAGUGGAGCAUGUGGUUUAAUUCGAUGCAACGCGAAGAACCUUACCCAGGCUCGAAAUGUAGAGGACGAUACCAGAGAUGGUAUUUCUCGUAAGGGUCUCUAUAUAGGUGCUGCAUGGCUGUCGUCAGCUCGUGCCGUGAGGUGUUGGGUUAAGUCCCGCAACGAGCGCAACCCUUAUCAUUAGUUGCCAACACGUAAUGGUGGGAACUCUAGUGAGACUGCCUAGGUUAACUAGGAGGAAGGUGAGGAUGACGUCAAGUCCGCAUGGCCUUUAUGUCUGGGGCUACACACGUGCUACAAUGGAUGGUACAGAAGGCAGCGAAUUCGCAAGAUAGAGCAAAUCCGUAAAGCCAUCCCCAGUUCGGAUUGUAGUCUGCAACUCGACUACAUGAAGUUGGAAUUGCUAGUAAUGACGUGUCAGCAACAACGUCGUGAAUACGUUCCCGGGCCUUGUACACACCGCCCGUCACAUCAUGGGAGUUGGUUUUACCCGAAGUCACUGACUUAACCGCAAGGGGAGAGGUGCCUAAGGUAAGGCC